GGGCAAAUAGUGUAGUUGGUUAUCGCGCCCGCUUCGCAUUCCGUUGAGGAUGACGUAAAGUUGCGGGAGGUGCUGGGUUCAAUUCCCAGUUUGUCCA